rnacentral:rRNA from 1 species
GACGUAGGGCGCGAGCGUUGUCCGGAUUUAUUGGGCGUAAAGAGCUCGUAGGCGGCUUGUUGCGUCGGCUGUGAAAACCUGCAGCUUAACUGUGGGCGUGCGGUCGAUACGGGCAUCACUGGAGUUCGGCAGGGGAGACUGGAAUUCCUGGUGUAGCGGUGAAAUGCGCAGAUAUCAGGAGGAACACCGGUGGCGAAGGCGGGUCUCUGGGCCGAUACUGACGCUGAGGAGCGAAAGCGUGGGGAGCGAACAGG